rnacentral:rRNA from 1 species
UACGUAGGGUGCGAGCGUUGUCCGGAAUUACUGGGCGUAAAGGGCUCGUAGGCGGCCAACUAAGUCAGACGUGAAAUCCCUCGGCUUAACCGGGGAACUGCAUCUGAUACUGGAUGGCUUGAGUUCGGGAGAGGGAUGCGGAAUUCCAGGUGUAGCGGUGAAAUGCGUAGAUAUCUGGAGGAACACCGGUGGCGAAGGCGGCAUCCUGGACCGACACUGACGCUGAGGCACGAAAGCGUGGGGAGCAAACAGG